rnacentral:rRNA from 1 species
CAAGCGGUGGAGCAUGUGGUUCAAUUCGACGCAACGCGAAGAACCUUACCCAGGCUUGAACAGCGAGUGACCACUUCCGAAAGGGAGCUUCCGCAAGGACACUCGUAGAGGUGCUGCAUGGCUGUCGUCAGCUCGUGUCGUGAGAUGUUGGGUUAAGUCCCGCAACGAGCGCAACCCUUGUUUGCUGUUGCCAUCAGGUUAUGCUGGGCACUCUGCAAAGAUUGCCGGUGAUAAACCGGAGGAAGGUGGGGAUGACGUCAAGUCAGCAUGGCCUUUAUGUCUGGGGCUACACACGUGCUACAAUGGCCGAUACAAACCGUCGCGAGCCCGCAAGGGGGAGCUAAUCGGAGAAAGUCGGUCUCAGGUCGGAUCGCAGGCUGCAACUCGCCUGCGUGAAGUUGGAAUCGCUAGUAAUCGCGGAUCAGCACGCCGCGGUGAAUACGUUCCCGGGCCUUGUACACACC